rnacentral:rRNA from 1 species
GAUGAACGCUAGCGGGAGCCCUAACACAUGCAAGCCGAGCGGUAUUGUUUCUUCGGAAAUGAGAGAGCGGCGUACGGGUGCGUAACACGUGUGCAACCUGCCUUUAUCUGGGGGAUAGCCUUUCGAAAGGAAGAUUAAUACUCCAUAAUAUAUUGAACGGCAUCGUUUAAUAUUGAAAGCUCCGGCGGAUAGAGAUGGGCACGCGCAAGAUUAGCUAGUUGGUGAGGUAACGGCUCACCAAGGCGAUGAUCUUUAGGGGGCCUGAGAGGGUGAUCCCCCACACUGGUACUGAGACACGGACCAGACUCCUACGGGAGGCAGCAGUGAGGAAUAUUGGUCAAUGGGUGCAAGCCUGAACCAGCCAUCCCGCGUGAAGGACGACUGCCCUAUGGGUUGUAAACUUCUUUUGUAUAGGGAUAAACCUACCCUCGUGAGGGUAGCUGAAGGUACUAUACGAAUAAGCACCGGCUAACUCCGUG